rnacentral:lncRNA from 1 species
CUCUCUCUAUAUAUAUAUAUAUAUGCAUAUAUAUAUAUAUGUAUGUAUAUGUAUGUAUGUAUAUGUAUGUAUAUAUAUGUAUAUGUGUGUGUGUGUGUGUGUGUGUGUGUGUGUGUGUGUGUGUGUGUGUGUGUGNUUCUGACAUUCCCGCAAAUUUUCAUAAUUUUCUGAGACUGUACAUUUUCUGCUAAUUUAUCAGUCCCGUUUCCAACAGAAAAUUCUAAAUAUUCUGUUUUCAAUCCGAUUUCAGCACAAGUCAUUUCUGACUUAUGUUUUACUCCUCUAAAUCUAAUAAAAAUAGUAUCUCACACUAUUUUUAUUUAUUUUUAUUUUUAUAUUUAAAAUCCGGUAUGUUACAUUCCACCGCAACUUCACCGGAACCAUUUAAAUGUAUACCGUGACUUCAUGAUUUUAAAAUCCGGUAUGUUACAUUCCACCGCAACUUCACCGGAACCAUUUAAAUGUAUACCGUGACUUCAUGAUUUUAGAAGUUCAGUAUGUUACAGACGCAAAACGGACUCUCUG